rnacentral:ncRNA from 2 species
AGGGGAAUCCGGUGCGAAUCCGGAACUGUCCCGCAACGGUGUGAUGUGGCGUGCGACCUGGAGGCCC